rnacentral:lncRNA from 1 species
UAGCAUCACAUAUCCGUCCAUCCAAACAAACAAAAACAAAAAACAGAGAAGUUUUGGUCAGAAGUUGAACAGAAGAACACACUGUUUGCAAGUCGGCACGGCCCACCGGUGCGAAAGCGAGACGGCGCGCUCCCCUGCCGCUGUUGCCGCCGUCGGCGCUCGCGGAAAGAACGAAACUGCUACGUAGACGAUGCAUGUGUGCACGACACUAGGACGACGGGCAGUCCAGCCGCUGAUAUGCGCUGGAUAGUAUGCAUGGACGGCUUGAUAUGUGCUGUCGUGCACGAGUCGUCCGCACGGCGUCGUGUGUAUAGCAGCGCUGCGGAAAGAAUGGGCCGUUGUUGAUGUGCACGGCGAGUGGGGAAUGAAUGAUUCGAUUUGACCAAGAUCGCCAUUGUAAAAUCCAUCCAUCCAUCCAUCUUUUUCAGUUUUCUUUUCUCUAGUUUGCACGGCUGUGGAGUACAAAGGAAAUAUACUACUAGUAGAAAAGAUUCUUACACGCAUGAGCCCGGCCCGCUGGCCGCUGCCCAAGAAGAGCUAUCUAUGAUUGUAUAUACGCACUCGCCCUCCAGUUCUCCGGCCGAUCGCUAGUGGCGAACACACUAUAACCUGAUCUAUGCACACUUAUUCUGGGAUUUGCUCUCAGCUGUCAGAGGCCAAACCUGGUCAAGCUAUGAUAUGCGCGAAGCGAAGAUUAGGCUCAAGUUCACAUCGUUUCAGUAAUGAACAGGACGUACAAAUACCUGUCAUGUUAUCUCUGCUCUGUAGUGUCACAGUGCUUUGCUUGCCGCACUGUUGCUGUGGCUGAUUUUCCAUAACCACAAACCAGUCAGAGAUGUGGCAGUUCCAUCCAUUAUCACUGACAGUCUAGCUGCCAGACACUCAUAAUA